CCUACGGGAGGCAGCAGUAAGGAAUAUUGGACAAUGGGCGAAAGCCUGAUCCAGCCAUGCCGCGUGAAGGAUUAAGGUCCUCUGGAUUGUAAACUUCUUUUAUGUGGGACGAAAAAAGGGCAUUCUUGCUCACUUGACGGUACCAUUUGAAUAAGCACCGGCUAACUCCGUGCCAGCAGCCGCGGUAAUACGGAGGGUGCAAGCGUUAUCCGGAUUCACUGGGUUUAAAGGGUGCGUAGGCGGGUAGGUAAGUCAGUGGUGAAAUCUCGAAGCUUAACUUCGAAACUGCCAUUGAUACUAUCUAUCUUGAAUAUUGUGGAGGUUUGCGGAAUAUGUCAUGUAGCGGUGAAAUGCUUAGAUAUGACAUAGAACACCGAUUGCGAAGGCAGCAGGCUACACAUAUAUUGACGCUGAGGCACGAAAGCGUGGGGAUCAAACAGGAUUAGAUACCCUGGUAGUCCACGCCCUAAACGAUGAUUACUCGACAUACGCGAUACACUGUGUGUGUGUGAGAGAAAGACGAUUAAGUUAAGUACCUACCGUUACGGUUAAGGUACGUUACCGUUCCGAAGGAGAGAACGUACGAAGGAAGUUAGUUACGGCGUUGAGACGUUGCCGACGGACGACGACGAGGGAGGUAGG
rnacentral:rRNA from 1 species